GACGAACCGUGCAAACGUUGUUCGGAAUCACUGGGCUUAAAGGGCGCGUAGGCGGCCGCACAAGUCAGGGGUGAAAUCUUUCGGCUCAACCGGAAAAGUGCCUCUGAUACUGUGCGGCUCGAGGGAGGUAGGGGCGGACGGAACUUCCGGUGGAGCGGUGAAAUGCGUUGAUAUCGGAAGGAACGCCGGUGGCGAAAGCGGUCCGCUGGCCCUCUACUGACGCUGAGGCGCGAAAGCCAGGGGAGCAAACGGG
rnacentral:rRNA from 1 species